rnacentral:other from 1 species
UUUUCCCUGCGCUGUUGGUGAUUUGCAGUGUGUGUUGAGCCAACUCUCUUAAAAAGGGUACCUCCACUGCUAGUAGAAGGAGAAUCGUACGCGAAUUUCCUGACGUUAUCAUGAGGCUGCCCACCUAAUUCAUUAGGUUUAACUGUCCUGCGGACACGGCAGUGUGGGGAAAUA